rnacentral:lncRNA from 1 species
AAAUUGGCCGGUUUAGUCAUUAGCGCAAUCAACCCAAAGAAAGAUGGGAAAACCUCUCUCAACUUGAAACUCCCAAAUUACCCCGGUAUGCAAUAAACCUCGCUGCCCUUGGGAAAUUUGACGAUUUUCACAUUUUCUCCUUCCUCCACCGCUAGCCAUGGCGAAAUUGAAGACGGAUUCUCCUCUCGCUCGCCGUAUCGCCCAAUCUUUGAUUCGCUUCCUCGAUUCCGGUAAUUUUUCUACAUUUACCUCUCCGUUUUUACUUCAAUAUGUUCUUUUUCAGUCAGUCAACUGUGGUAUUCUCUUGUUCAAUUCCCUUUUUUAACUACCCUGUGGAAUUGAUUUUGUUGCUUUACUGAUUAUUCCUGAACUAGUAGUGCAAAUGUAUCGGACGAUAUUUCUUUUUUCUUUCUUUAUUUUUGUUUAAGUUGAAAAUGGGAACUAUAUAAAGAAACAUCUAUUGCAAUUACGUCAAUUUUUUAUUGUUGAUAGAAAUCUUAUUGGCAGUAGUAAUUAGGAUACUUUCGGUAUUGAAGAACUUUAAUAUUGGUACGAAUUGUGAUAGAAGACUAUUAAAUUUUAGAAUUGGUGAUCUUUUAUUUUUAUUUUUAUUUUUUGAAGAUGUUAGGUAGGAGUAAUUUGUUUUAAUUCUGGUGGAGUUAAUUUUUUCAGAAUUUUCUGUUGCGACAACUUAAAAACAUUUUUUAACUUCAAAUCCUGUGGUGUUUAUCAAUUCUUGCUAUGUUAGUUUGUCAGUAAUCCAGUUAAGCUUUUGUACGGGAAGUUUUAAGAGUGAACAAUAUAUCCACAAAGUUAAGUUGGAAAUGUUUUUCAGAUUACGAACCAAGUAUUAGAAAGUUAUUGACGUUAUAAAAUGUUUCCAUGGAAAAGCUUCUCACAGCAAAAUAACCAUUAAUGAGGUCCUUUAUCUUAGGAUAAAUCUUCUAUACCAUCUCAAAGAAUUUUUUUUAUUUGUUAUUUUUAGGUUAGUGCAUCUGAAUACUUAAGUACAUAAGAGAUAAAGGACAUGUGGCAAAGAUCUCAAUUCACUCGUGUAAAUAAUUUUUGACAUUGACGGUAUACAAAGGAUUAUUCCGAAAGUCCAUGUGGACAUCUUGGCGAUUUAUUGCAAUUGUUCCUGAUGUUAGAUAAAUCUUUAAGCUAGAUGAGAAUGGUGUACUUUGAUAAUCUGAGAUUAGGCAUCUGCAACUGCAUUUGUCCACUUUGAGAAUCUGUAGUACUGACCCCAAUCUGAUUGUUCAUGUGAAAAUGAGUGAUAAAAAUUUGGAAUGCUAAGUUUUAAGAUCAUCACUGGUAGCCUUAAAAACAAAAUAAGAAAAGAUCCCCCUGGUAAUUUACCUGUUCUCUUUGUUCAACUCUGGGUCAAUGUGACAUCAUAUCCAUUUGCAUCUUUUCCUAUUUUAGCAAGAUGAGAAUUUAGGCUUGUUUUGUGUUCUUACAUGUACAUGUGUGUGUGUGGGUCUAUCUAUAUGUAACUAACACUAUAAAUGGUUAAUACAUAGGGCUAGAUGGUAUUAAAUUUUUUCUAAAUAGACACUAAUUGGCAAAAAACUGAUUUUUGUGAUAAUAGGACAAAGAAAUUUGAUUAAAAUUUUUAAGUAAUAGCAAAGAUAUAUAUUAGGAAAGUAGAAUGUGACUUUCUACUACAUACAUAACUAAUCACUUCAUGCAGUGCUGGUAAUUGAUUUUGCCUGAUAUGACAAGACUAGUUUUUCAAGUUCUGUUUGUAAUUUUCCUGAAAUUGUUAUACGUUGGUAUAGAAGAAAUUAUUGGAGACAUAAGGGGGGCCCUUUGUCCCACCCCCCCUCAUGUUUGGCCUUUAAUUAAUUUCAUUUUUUUUUUGAAGAUGUUUUUGUAGUUCAGAUGCAAAUCAUUGCUAUCCUCUUUUAUCUUUCUUUUUUCUGUACUUGGUAUUCAUAUUCUUAUUAUGUUGAGGCUACCAUUCUGUAUUAUCUGUCUCUAUCAAUGCAGUUGAACCCGCUUCUGGUGUUGAUGCUGAGGGUAUUGAGGUAGCCAAGGAAUGUUUGUCAGAGGCAUUCAAGAUUGAAUUGUCAUCUGAAAAUCAAUUAAAUUCUGAAUCAUUGGUUGACAUAUUCAGUUCCUGGGAGACAGUUGGAAGGAGUAACAGCAAUGCUGAUCUUCCCCAUGAGGUGUCUCCAGGAGAUUGUGCAUCCACAUCCUCGGCAGGAAAUGCUGGUGAUGCUCAUCAUCUUAAGCCCUCGUAUUCUCAGGUUCGUUUUUAGUGCAAGCAUCUUUCGUUUUAUUGGUUUUGUUGGAUUUGGGUGACUUACCAAAACAUUCUUUUCCUAUACAUGGUUGUCCCUAUACAUAGUGAAAUGCAUUUUAAAGUUAUAGUUCAGAUAAUGUUGUACGUGGUGUUGUGUCUAAGCCUAUUUUUUUUGGCAUUUUUUAAACCAAAAUUCAGCAUCUGAUAAUCCUUUGGGACUGUUUGUUUUGAGGGAAUGGGAGGGAAAGGAAAGGAAAGGAAAUGGAGCGAUAAGUUUUUGAUGCUUGGGAUGAUUUUUGAGAAGGGAAAGGAAAGGAUUGGGAGAAUGGAGGGAUAAGGUUUAGUUAUUUUUUGUCAGCCUGGUUUCCAUCCAAAAGUGGGCAGAAACAGAGGGAAAGGACAUAAAGAUUAAUAAAAUUUUUAAGAUUUCCUAAAAAAACCUAUCAUGUGCUUAUACAUUAGACUUUUAAAUUAUGGAUAAAAAUGUAACUAAUGCAUGUUAGUUUCCUUUCCUUUCCUUCCAUAAUCCAAACAAGAUGGACGGAUUCAGGUUUCCUCUACUCUCCUUUCUUUUCCUUUCUGUCUCUUUCCUUCAAAAAACGGUGCCUCACUUUUUUCCCCUAAAAUGUGAGCCUUGUCCCAAAACUGUUAUGUUAAGUAAGAUAUAGUUGUGCUCCCAUUUUUGUACUCGAUUUGUUUUAUUGGAGAAAAAAUGAAUAGCCUUAUUAUUAUUAUUUUGAGAUCAUGUUUUCUUGGUUUGCUGGUAUUGUUUUAUAUCUGCGUUCUUGAUAUAAGUGGAUUACUGAAAUCUAUUAAAAGCUUUGGGAUGUCUACAAAAACAAACUUGUUCUUGAUAUCUCACAAGUUUUGGUCUUUGUAUGGGGUGUCUGUUAUUGUAUUUUUGGUUUCUGUAGACACACAUACAGGUUCUAUCUCUCUCUCUCUCUGUCAUGCAGACACACACAUACGUGCGCGCGUGCACAUGUACAUAUAGGCAUAUCUCUAGGCACAUAUAUGUUGGUGUGAUUAUACCUGCUACUUAGACAAUGGGAAAAUAUUUUGGGAUGGUAUUACGGUAAGUUAGGAGAAAAUACUGGGAAUUUAUGAUAUAUGGGAAAUUGUGCUCUUUGGGCCAUGUAAUGACAUUCUCGUGGUCUGUUCUCUUUUUAAGUGGUUUGUCUAACUUUUUGACAUAUGUUUCUAUUACAUUAUAUGAAAAUUUAAAAUGUGGCUUCCAAAACACUUAUCUGCUAAGUGUACUUCCAGUUUCUUUAUUAUUCUAGGUAAUCAACUUAUUGGGAAAUCAAUAUUCUGUGUUCAUUAUUUAUAGAGAGAAGUACAUUCAGGAAGCAGCCCAUUAGAUGUUGUCAUCAGAUUCUUUUGGUCAAAAAAAUUAUUUUGGUUAAAAAAGAAACUUUGUGCUAAACCUUAUUUCCUGGUAGGUUUGUUGUAACUGUGCCUUCGAGAGUUUGAUUCUGUUUCAUGUCCAUAAACAGGUUGAUGGUUGGAGCAAAGAGGAUCAGACACAUGGUAGGUGAUCUUUGGACUUCUCUAUCCUGAUUGACAAAAUGUGGAAACCUAGAAUAGCUAAGUGCUGGGUUUUCCCUCCCAAAAUUUGGUUUAUGUUGUGUAAAAAUACUGCAUUCUCAAGUCUCUGGUUGUUUGACAUAAAUUUUUAUUUCUUCAAGCUUGUAAAUUUGCUCAGAUAUUAGUUAGAAAGGAGUUGCAAAUGUUUGGUGCCUAUUAUGUACAAAAUCUUUUGAAUUAUAUUGGACCACAAUUAAAAUGGUUGUGAAUUGCAGUUGUACUUUUGAAGAUAAUUUUUUAAUACUGGACUGAUCUGAAUAAGGUUUGCCGUGAGCCAUACCUACAAAUUAGACUGUUAAUUACAAUAAUCGAGCGAGUUAGACUGUUAGAGAACUUAUAGUCUCCAGGUCAAGAAAAUGCCGUCAUUAAUCCUUUUGUUACAUUGGAUGACCUGCAUGCCCCUAGACGAACUAUGUAAAAGCUUUCUUGUCCAGAAUCAUUGAUGCAGCGUUGGACAAGCUAUUGCACUGACUAUUGAUUUGAUAAUUCUUAGUUGUAGGAACCUCUAGAAUCUUAGAAAACAAGAGAGCAGCAGUAGGAAUUUACAAGAAGCAAGUUAGGAAGGCAGAGGUGGAGAAAGUCCAGCAUAUAAUAUGUAAGAAUUCUACCUAGAUUUCCCUGUAAAUGACCUGUUAUGGUAAGGCUGCUUCAAAACUCAACACAAUGUCAUUUACUUGGGUGGACAUAAUUUUACUUCAUUCCUUCUCUACACCACUCUACUACAAGGGAUAAGUGCAGUACACAACAAUUGGAGGCCAAGGCUAGUAGGAACUAAGGAAACAUCAUAACCAAGCAAGCUUGAGAACUAGGGAAACUAAAAGCUAAAAGAGUAGGAAGCCAAUUUUUGCACGAACACUUGAAUUUUGAUUUUACUCCAAGAAAUGCUAAAUCAUAAAGCAAGUUAAACGAUAUCAAACUUAUGGUAGAUAUAGCUAGAAGGCCUGCAGAUCCAUCACUGUCUGGAUAUCUUGAGAUCGCUUGCCACUAUCCUCUUGAAUUUUGUUUCUCAUACGCAUUCUGUGAUUGCAAUGGUAAGUGUGGUUAGGUGAUCGGUUCUUGGAGGGCUAUCUUUUGUUUGCUACUUUUUCAAUUCAUUCUCAUCUUCCCCAAUCUUUCUUUUAUCAUUUCAUAUUCAAGUUUUACCUUUGCUUUUAAAAUGGGGCAUUUGAUUCUUUACAGGCUUGUGAGAUGGGUUCUUAGGCUGAUAGUAGCCUAAAUUGUGCAGGGUACUGGGCACACAUUGUUAGUCUUGAUUUCUUGGAUAAGGGUUAUCUAGAAUCGAAUACAUUUUCCCUUUUCCUUAGUCCAUUGUGGUGUCAAUAUAUGACCUUCUUAUAAAAGGUUUAGAGGAUUUUGUUCUUAUUAUCUUGAAAAAACAAUUAAAAGUUUACUUGAUCAAAGCCUUAAAUUAAAUCUUGAAAGUCAUCAACAUUUUUCCUACAGUAAAAAUAUAUUUAAAAAAAUUUUAUUUCACUGGUAGGUUGAGUUGCCUAAGUAUAUUUACAAGAAUGCAAGAUGCGAGAAACAUGUCAGUGGCACUAAAAUAUUCCAGAUCAUGCAUCAAGACAGUUCACAUUCCUAUCCCUAUUAAAUUUCGGUUCAAGAUUUUUUUUUUUUGGACCGGCAUUAUGCAUGUCCAACUUCCAAGUAUUCCUUAUUUGUAUAUGAGAUUAAUAUUUGGAGACAGUGUCCAGAUUUACAUCUUAAGGACCUUGUUUUGUAUGAUAUAAUUUCUAGCUUUUAUGAUGUUAUGUUAGGAACAUCAAAGGAUGAGCUUUUUGGGCAAUAUUUUGGUGCUUUGGAAAAAAUUCGCUAUUUCAAAAGUAUGGCUGAUGGAAAUGAUGAUCAAGCCCAGUUGGAUAGAGCCACACAUAUCUUUCACAAAGCAUUGGAGGUAUUUGUCUUUUAGUUGCUUCAUAGUUUAUUUGGAUUUACUUGAAAAAUGUGCCUUUCUUAAUUUCUGAAGCAAGACUAUGAUAUGGCAUACCACUUUUACAGCAUGCGUUUUAGCUGCUCAGUGACUGUUCCAGUGUAUGUUGUUUGUCACUUUGUCAAGCUCCAAUGCAAUUUCAAAGUUGUUAUAUAAACUGAUUUUAUCACUGCAUAUAGUUCAAAGAUUGUCCUGCAAUACAUUACAUUGUUCAAAUGCAGAUGCUAGAGAAUGCUGGAUUUUAGUAUUCAAAUGUGCCUUUUUAUGGUUGUAUUGUUUCUAUUUUUAUUCUUUGCUAGAUGACGGGGUUCUAGUAACACUUUUUCCCUGUUCUUUUUUUUUUUUUUGGAAGUUAUUUGUUAAUUGACUUGGUGAAGAAAGUGAGAGCAGAAGCUAAGUAUAAACAUAUUGGAUCUUUUUGGUUGGAAUAUGGGUUUUCUAGAUACUUUAAAAAACCUCAGAGGUUUGAUUUUCUUUGGUAGGAAAAAAUUGUUGGUUUCAGAGCAAUACUUGUUAAGAAAAAUGUGGAGAGACAAAUCAAAUAUGGAAAAAACUCGUUCUUUCUUUAUGAAUCUUAAAUACUUAAAGCUUAUUUUAUCCAUACAUUUUACUUAGUGCCCAUGCUAGCAACUCAAGGAUCUCUAACAUAUCUGCGUACUGGCUAAGCCGUGGAUAUACAUGCUGAAUCCUACCCUGUGCAGGACCACUUUUUGCAGGAACAUAACAUAAUGUCUCCUAGUUAGUACCAAGAGUUAAUUCAAGGAUUAUCUUACUCUCCUUUUGAUUAUUGGGCAUUAUGGUCUGCAAGUUAGGAGCAAAGUUUUUUCAGCUUGGUGUUGUACUGUAAGUAGACUUGCACUAACCUCUGAUCGAGGCGAGAGAUUACCUUACCUCCUUAUCAUCUUUGGUCAUACUUUAUCAAUUUAAUGCUGCUGGAUAUGUUCAUUUACUUGUUUUUUUAUUACUUACCAAGUGCCACUACUAUAUAAGUCAGAAAGGGUCCCACUUACCAGGGUUACGUCAUCUCAAUCAUAUCUAGAACAUUUCACCUUUCAGCAGGACCUCUUAUUAUUUGAGGUUAUCGUUUUCAGGCCGAAGAUAAAUCCUUUUCCUCAUUUUUCUGAAACGACAUUUGCUCAUGCAUACUUCUUCAGGGAACCUAGUUCCUACAGAAUUCACCUUCCAUGAGAUCACUUUCCUCAAGAAAUGCAUCAUUCCUUUUCAGUUGACUGACAUUACCAUUUUAAACAUCCUGCUCUCUCGGCUUCUCUAUAAGAUGCUUUGUCUCUUCUCUUUGGGUAAAAGAUAACAUAGUGUAUAUUGUCGUUCUGUGGUCACAUGGUGUUCUUAAGGCUGGUUAGGGGCUAGCCCAGGAAUAGGUGAUCAUUCUGGCACCCCUAUUUAAAAGAUAAGUUCUUAUUGUUCAUGGUGUUACUUAAUUGUAGCGACUCCCUAGGCACUGAAGGAAGCUUUCCAACCCCAAUUACUGAAGAUUUUUGCCUGGAGGAACUCUUAAAGUCUCAAAAUGGGAUUUAGAGUCAUUUUCCUCCUAGCAACAUAACUUUGUAGAUGAAUUAACUAAACAAAGUUACUUCUUCUAUUGCCAUUUUGAUCGUUUAAUGCGCAAUAAGUUCAAUAGAACAGCGUGAUCAUGCUCAUAAAUUAAAUUUAGGUGCUUGUUAAAUUGUCUACUGUGGUUUAUUCUAUUUCUAGGGUAAUAUUUUUUCUCUCUCCCACAUUAUUUUCAUAAUCUGAUUCAAUUUCUUUGUUUACUAUAUUCUGCGCUGUCAUUAAAAUAUGAAGGAUGAAGAUUAAUUAAAUGCUUAAGGUCUAAGCAAGAAGGCUUGUCUCACCUUAUGGGAUAUGAGCUCUACACCAUCUCUUCUCCUUUCAAUAAGAAAAAUUGGGGCUUUAGGCCUCGGCAUGGGGACUUUUCCACCUUAUGGCCCAUUAAGUUCAUUGCACAUGUUGUAGCUAUUGUGGUUGUGUAAGCUAAAAUGAUCUGCAUGAAGUUUGAUUAAGUGUUGCUUUCCUGGUUUUUUAUUUGUUGCUGAGCUUGCAUUGAUCGAGUGCGAAAAUGCUUGUAAUAACAGGAAAUGCAAAGAUCUGGUUGCCAGACUUUUGAUGGAAGAAAUUUGGCUGAGACGUUAAAAUUGCAAGGUAGACUUAAAAUAGGUGUUAAAAUUUCUGGGUCAUUUUUGAACUGGCAGUACUUCAUAUACAUAGUCAUUUUACUAUAGAUAGUCAUUCUUUUUUAUUUGUUCUAACCAUUAGUUAGUCUCCUGGUAUCCUUCACUUUAAAGAUACUCCUCUGGUGUUACUUUGCAUAAUUAUCUUCUGAUGUUCAUGAUACUAAAUCUUACUAAGUCUUUUUCUUUUGAUAUUGGACUUGACAUUUUUUAAUGAUAUAUAUAUGUGUGUGUGUGUGUGUCUAGGUAACAAAGCCAUGCAAUUGAAGCUUUACUUGGAUGCCAUAGAGCUGUAUACCUUUGCCAUUGCACUUUGUGAAGAUAAUGCUGUUUAUUACUGUAACAGGUAUACUAUUUAUUUACUUUUGGAUGUGUAACCAUGGUGUUCUUUGCAUUAAAGCAUUCAACUAAAUUCUGACGAGUGCAGAUUUAAAGGUCUAUAGGUUGUUAUUAAACAAUCUAAGUUACCAUGUGAGUUUUUUGCUUGUGAACCAAACUUCUAUGUUCAUAUAUCAUCAUACAAUCUGUAAACUUUGGGUGAAGCAUCCUAACAUGCUUAGUUGAUAAAAAAAUAACGUGCUUCAAUAGGUAAUGUUGCUGAAGGAGCGUUUAGGUUUAAUGUUCAGAUCGUGACUUGAACAAUUAUCUGUUUAACUAAUGUAAAAUACCUUCAUGGAGCAAGGGUUUUCAUUUGUUCUAUUGUGAUCUUUCAAGUUGUCAGAAAACAUACCCUUUGCACACUAUCAGUUGUUUUGCUUUCUUUGUGGUGGUGCAGUGGCGCUUCCUGGCCAUUUCUUUUUGUUUUGUAGAUGAUCUGUUGUUGUGUGAACUCCAUAUAGGGAAUAACAUGAUUUGAGUUUGUUUCAGCCAGUUCCGAUUCUACCGUUUCUAUUUCUCUUUCGUAGUUGUAUUAUUCAGGUUACUAUAUCCUUAGUCAUUUGCUGUUUAAUUUCUUUUUGGUCGUUUUAUACAAUAAUUUGCUAAGUCGCCAAUUGAUUUACUAAUAGCUUCUUUUUUAGAGUUAUUGACUUUGAGGUUCUUAAAGUUUUAAUGAUGUAAACAAUUGCAAAUAGCAGAUGUAUAGCCAAUUAUGGCAACUUUGAAUUUUAGUUGAAAAUUGCGAUGAAUCUGUUAAAUUUACCAGGGCUGCUGCUUAUACUCAGAUCAACCACUUUGAGGAAGCCAUCAAUGAUUGCCUGAAAUCAAUUGAAAUUGACCCAAACUAUAGCAAGGCUUACAGUCGUUUAGGAUUUGCUUAUUAUGCUCAAGGAAAGUACAGGGAUGCUAUUGAUAAAGGAUUUAUCAAAGGUUGGUUUGGAAUUGAUCUAAAUACUCUAUAUUACUCCAAGUGAUGGUUGAAAAUAUAAUGAUUGCUCCCAGAUUUUAACUUGAUCUGCUUUGAGUAUUUUUGUGAUUUCUGUUGUUUGUUGUUACAUGUGCUGAUAAUUUUAUUUCUUAACAUAUCUGUGAUGAAGCUUAGGAGAUUGUAGGAUGCAGGAAAGUUGAAAUGUCUAGACAUGGUAACAGGUGAGAUAGGGUAAAUUAUGUGGACGCAUCUUGUCUUUUAUAUUACAAGGAGACAUGGUAACAGGUGAGGUAGGGUAUAUUAUGUGGAUGGAUCUUGUCUUUUAUCUUACAAGGACCUCCUAUCUGAAAUUUCAUUGAACUCCUCCCAGUUUCCAUAUUUUAUAUUGAGAUCUUCUCAGGUUUCAACUCUCCAGUAGACUACAUAGGCGGGAUAUCCAUUGGAUACUAUAUAGACGGGAUAUCUCUAUGACAAAGUAGUGGGGGCAUUCAAUGUAGUUUUAGAACAACAGCUGAAACUCCAGUGUUGUUUUCAACCAACAGCUGGAACUCAAAGAAGAAACCCAGCUUUUAACAACAGUUAAAACUCUACAAUUAUGAACUAGGUGUAGAGGAGCUCGUGGCUUUUUACUGAAGAAAAAAAUUAUGUUUUCAAUCACAAAAGCACAAGUGUUAACUACUCGUAAUUGUUGACAAGGUUAGGUAAAAUUCUGAAACAGGAGAGACCUUAGUGAUCAGAGAAAAGAAUACAUUUUGGGCUAUUUGCCUUAAUUUAAGGGAUCAAUAAAGUGCAGUUCAUCUUUAGGGGAGGGUGAUUGUACACUACAUGUUUGAUGAAUUUAUAGAAUAAAUGGAGUUCCAUUCCAUGUUUUAGAGGACCGUGAAAUACUCAGAAGUGCUCCUAGAUACCAGGGUCAGUUGCCCAUCAAAUUUAUCUUGUAGAUCAUUCCUCUCACCUCUGCUUUCAUCUUACUGGGGCUUUCACUUUUUAUUUUUAUUUUUUUAAAGUCUCUCAUUUUUUCAUGUGUUUAUCCUAUUACAUGAUUUUGUUACUUUUUGGCAUCAUAGAGCUUUCACGUCAAUCCCUGCUUAAGCCUGCUAAACCAACAAAUAAUAAAUGAAUGUAACCAAAAUGGUGUAGUUAAUUGAAACUCAGUGCAUAAAUUGUUCAACAUGCUGUUGAAAAUGACUUUCUAAUCUUGAUUCUUGGCUCUAUGUUUAGAAAUUAAGAAAAGAAUUCUAUGUUUAUGCUUGGAUUUAUAAUAUAGAAAUGUGAUUGUUGUGGCAAUUUUUAUGCUUUUGUAGUUAUUCUGUAGGUUUUGUGAAAUAUCUUUCUUGUAUUCUUGAGUUGAUGAACCAUCCAUUAUCUAGAUUAAUAUAACUACGGCUAUUGCAGAUAAUUACUACUUGUAUGCUUGCUCUUACAGAAUCUGCACCAUAGAAAAAAAAAAGUUUGUCUUAUAAGAUUGGUGGUGCAAGGCACUUGCUUUCACGGUUGUGAAUAACUAGAUCUUACUUUUUGAAAAUUUAACGAUUUGGAAUAUGUGAUUCUCUUAAUGCAGCAUUGCAGUUGGAUCCUAAUAAUAGUUCUGUGAAAGAGAAUAUUCGGGUUAGUUUGUGCCUUUAACUAUGAUUAUGAAUUUGAGCUUGUUUGUCGAAAGGGUGUGUGUGUGUUGUGAAUCAUUCUAAUUGUGGUUAAUAUCAUUCUCAUAUUCAAUGUAGGUGGCAGAGCAAAAAUUGAGAGAAGAACAACAAAGGGCAGGGCAAAGUCAGGUAAUAUGCAGUCGUAUAAUGCCAUACAGCUAUAUUGUGGCAGUAUGUUGAAUCUGAUGCCAUGGCAUGCAGAUUCAGUGAAGAUGAAGAGGAAGUCAAAAUUGUUCUUUGUGGAAUCUCUAUGAUAUUGUUUCAAGUAGUUUUAAUACUGUAUAGGGAUCAUUUUUUGCAUGAUUCAGUAUUUUUUGCUAUGCUUUGUUUCCAGCUAGAGCUCAUGAUUAAUGAAUAGAAGCUUCUCAAGAUUUCUCGAAUUUUGGAGGAGUGUCAUAGUGCUUCCUGUAACUGUGCAUUAGUACGUAUAAUUUGUGGAAAUUGGGAUCAUGAGUUUGGGGAUUCUGGUUAAUAUUUGGGGUAGUUCUCACUGCUUGAAGGUAGUGCUGUUGUAACUAAUUUUGGGGUGAAGGGGUUAUGGAGCUAUCUAGUUUUAAUUAUGGGGGUAUCCUAGUGCUUAAGCAUGGGCUAGUUUUAAUUACAGGAGUUUUUGCGUUGCAUGUUGCAUUGUAUUACUGUUGGAUGUUUUGAGAGUUUCUGCGGGUUAUUGUACUGCAAAUUGUGCAGAAGGAUGAUUCAUUGAGUAAAUUGUGAAUGAGAUAAAUCACGUAGUAUUAGUGGAUAUAAUAAUAAAAAAUCAAAGAAACUCCUAUAAAUGGGUAGAGAACAAGGAUGGAAAGUAAGAUGAGAAGGUCAGCAUUGGAAUAAGGGGGUAGGAUGAAAAUGGAAUUCUAGUUGAAGAGGAAUGUGCGUCUCAAUAGAUGGUCAAGGUCUGAAGUCAAAUAUCACUUAUGGCCAUUGAGAUGUUUCCAAAUUCCUACAGCCCCAUGUUACAUAUUCAUUAAAAUCUUCCGAGUUUUUCCUGAGAGGUGUAAUAUGCUCCUAAAGGAUCCCACUAUUUUCCAGCCAAUGUGCUAGACAGUCAAGCAGAUGCCACUCAAAGGUCUUACCAUCUAUUCUCUAUACGUUUGAUCCUAAUUGACCUGAAUGUGGAUAAGAAGAAAGUGCUUCGAUCUCGUACAGAGUUAAAGAGUGUUGAGGAAAGACAUAAAAGAGCACUGUUUCCGUAUAAGCAUGAUAUGUUGUGAUUUCACUUAUUUGUGGAACAAUAGGUAUAUAAGAUACAAGUUGGAAUUAGUUCCUUUGUGAUGACUUCUUGAAGAUCUUAUGAGCAUUGCUCAAUUAUAGGUUUGGUAGCAAUAGGUGUUUUUCAAGUUAACUGGUCUGUUUUCAAGCCUUUGCAUGUAGAAAUGUUAGAUUGAAUCUGAAGAAGCUGCAAUACAUGCACCUUGAUGCUGGCGGCCUCUGCACUGGUGGCAUCUCUCUAACAACCUUCAAGUUGUGAUGAAAAUAGUGUACCAGUGUCUCGUUUGGCUUCUAGGUGUGCUGGGUGGUGGAAACCCUUUGGAAAAUAAGCUUGCCUACUAUACUCAUCAUGUAGCAGAAAGUUGCACUCAUUGUUUGGGGUAUGCAUGUAUAAGCUCAUGGGUAUAUACAUCUUUUAUGGAUGCUAAAGAAGUGGUCUCAAGUGUGUUAUAGAAGGUCUCACUUUGGUAGUUUGUCUAGCUAUCUGUUCCACACAUAUAUAUACUGAUUCUGGGAAUUCCUUGUAUCAGCCGAUCACAAGAUUAUGCUUAUUCUCCGAUUUCUACAUCAGUAACAACUGCUUUUGUCCUUUUCAAGAUUAACUUUUAAAUUGUGAUAUUUUCCUUUUUAUUCUAUUUUCAGAAUUCAAGUUCAAAUCACCACCCUGCAGCAGGAUCAAGAAGCCAUGGCGUGCCUCCACCCUUUACCUCCAUGCCAUUUAACGCUACAGGCCUUCCUGUUGAUAUCACUAGCAUGUUCAUGAAUAUGGCUCCAAAUCUGUCCCCCGGACAGAAUUUUCAUAGUGGUCACGAAGGAACGAGCUCGACUGAUGCACACGAUGAGCCGGAAAUCAGAAUGGGUGGAAACAUUAAUGUUGAUUUAGGUGAACACAUGC